AACCCUCGCUGUUAGUUACAUGUGUCUAACGGGACGUGCCGGUAUCAAACCGGAGGAAGGUGGGGAUGACGUCAAGUCAGCAUGGCCUUUAUGUCCAGGGCUACACACACGCUACAAUGGUCGGUACAAUGGGCUGCUACACCGCGAGGUGAUGCUAAUCCUCAAAGACCGGCCUCAGUUCAGAUUGUAGGCUGCAACCCGCCUGCAUGAAGCCGGAAUCGCUAGUAAUCGCGGAUCAGCAUGCCGCGGUGAAUACGUUCCCGGGCCCU
rnacentral:rRNA from 1 species